UAAGUGUAAAACAUUAUUUACUCUUAUUUAACUGUUGCCUUGUGUCCUCCUGUAGCGGGAAAAGCUUGUGAGCUGCAAUAAGAUGUUUCGCCAUGCAGCGCUGCGUCUGCUCCCAACUAAACCAGCCGACUGACGACGACUCAUUUUGUCCAGCUGAAGCGCUUGUGAGCGGCCAUGCAGCGCUGUUAUGCUCCCAACUAAACCGAUGACUCAUUUCAUGCAGGUUGGGCUUGUUUACGUGAGAAGUGAGUGACUCAUCAUAGACACCUGGAGCUACACCUUAAGACGGACCUUGUGUCGUUCUGCCAGUCUGAUGCUGUGGUGAUUUUUACAGGUGACGAGAGGACUCGUGGACACUGACCUGAAGAUGGAUGACCUGUUUGAAAACAUUUCACUUUGCGAAAGCAAGACUUGACUGAUUGUAAUAAAGUGUCAAAACAG